rnacentral:rRNA from 1 species
CGCGCAGGCGGUGAUGUAAGUCUGAGGUGAAAACCCGAAGCUCGACUUCGGGACUGCCUUGGAUACUGCGUCACUUGAGGAUAGGAGAGGCAAGGGGAAUUCCACGUGUAGCGGUGAAAUGCGUAGAGAUGUGGAGGAACACCUGUGGCGAAGGCGCCUUGCUGGCCUAUUUCUGACGCUGAGGCGCGAAAGCGUGGGGAGCAAACA